rnacentral:rRNA from 1 species
AGAUUGAACGCUGGCGGCAGGCCUAACACAUGCAAGUCGAGCGGCAGCACGGGUACUUGUACCUGGUGGCGAGCGGCGGACGGGUGAGUAAUGCCUAGGAAUCUGCCUGAUAGUGGGGGAUAACGUUCGGAAACGGACGCUAAUACCGCAUACGUCCUACGGGAGAAAGUGGGGGAUCUUCGGACCUCACGCUAUCAGAUGAGCCUAGGUCGGAUUAGCUAGUUGGUAGGGUAAAGGCCUACCAAGGCUACGAUCCGUAACUGGUCUGAGAGGAUGAUCAGUCACACUGGAACUGAGACACGGUCCAGACUCCUACGGGAGCAGCAGUGGGGAAUAUGGACAA